rnacentral:lncRNA from 13 species
AUGGGUGGACACGGAGAUGAUGAUGGGGCUCACCUGUUCAGAGCUCAGGUGUUGGCAGACUCUGGUCCAUUGGGCAACUCUGAGUCCCCCUUGUCCUCCAACCGCUGCAGGUUGUCAGCAGGGGAAACAGCUAUACCCAGCGGAGGAAAACAAAAGAUGCUGCGGUAUCUUUCCGUUAGACGGAAUGUGUGGGGAUGUCCUCAAAGCUUCAAGAGAAACGCCAAACAAGCUCAUUCAAUGCAAUCUACAAGCGACUGUACAGUCUGUAUCCCUGCGCCAUGGAAGGGGGGGGGUGCUAGGACAAUAUUCCGAGUUAUCUUGCAUAUAAAUCAUCUAAGAGUGAUUAACUCUUAUUCCUACAUUAUUUCGUGUUAAUAUCUAUGGAUUGUUAACGAUACAUGAUUGUGUUUGAGAUUCGAGAGUAUGUUUUAUUCUCAGUCGAUCUGUGCACCCCUACCAUUGCAUAUGAUGUGUUCCAUUUUCUCUUAAAAGAUACACCUCUUUUUUAUGAACGCAAGGCACAGUUAGAUACAUAGAAAUAGAAUGAAUAGAACGGCCUUUGAACCUCUAACCCUGAGCCUUCGCUAUGCCCCGCUUCAUAAUGUUGGGCAACCAAUCGCAGCGCUCCAAUGGAUCGAGUCCGACACCUCGGUCAAGCUCACGUUUACAUCGCAUGAAAGCCAGCGAGGCCUUUGGUAAAUUCCUUCUUUUUUUUUUUUAAAUACAUGUUUAAAUGGCUAAAUAAUUGAACACUGAACCAGGAGUACUUGCUACUGUGACUCCUGAAAUGCAGCCUGUUGAUGGAAUAUUUUUCUAAUAUGAAAUUAUACUUUUGUUAUUGUUUGCUAGCUCAGUCUCACUAACCACUUAAAAUAACUUGUUUUCUCAAAAUGUGUGUUAGCAAUGUUAUGAUUACAACUCCCAUCUGCUGUUGACAUCAGCAUACGAUUGGAGAGCACUAGUUAGCUCUAAAAGUGGUUAUAGCUUUGACUGCAUGCUGACCAAUAGCGACCCUCGGGUAGGGCAGAGACCCAUCUGUUUUGAGCCCCACCUGUUUAGCUAAAAAAAAAUAAAAAAUAAUGUGUUGCCUGUUUUGCAUGUUAUCUUGGCAUUAAUACGUGUCACAUAUCAGUUUGCAAACAAUGUAUAUAUAUAUAUAUAUAUAAAUAAUUGAGUUAAUAAAGCCGCAUACAAACUUGGACUCUUUUUUGCUUUCUUG